GCGCCUAUCGUAUAAUGGUAUUACCUCAGCCUUCCAAGCUGAAGAAGCGGGUUCGACUCCCGUUGGGCGCUCAA
rnacentral:tRNA from 2 species